rnacentral:rRNA from 1 species
AUUGAACGCUGGCGGCAUGCCUUACACAUGCAAGUCGAACGGUAACGGGCCUUCGGGUGCCGACGAGUGGCGAACGGGUGAGUAAUACAUCGGAACGUGCCCGAUCGUGGGGGAUAACGAGGCGAAAGCUUUGCUAAUACCGCAUACGAUCUACGGAUGAAAGCAGGGGACCGCAAGGCCUUGCGCGGACGGAGCGGCCGAUGGCAGAUUAGGUAGUUGGUGGGAUAAAAGCUUACCAAGCCGACGAUCUGUAGCUGGUCUGAGAGGAUGAUCAGCCACACUGGGACUGAGACACGGCCCAGACUCCUACGGGAGGCAGCAGUGGGGAAUUUUGGACAAUGGGCGCAAGCCUGAUCCAGCCAUGCCGCGUGCAGGAUGAAGGCCUUCGGGUUGUAAACUGCUUUUGUACGGAACGAAAAGCCUUCUUUUAAUACAGGAGGGUCAUGACGGUACCGUAAGAUUAAGCACCGGCUAACUACGUG